UACGGGGGGAGCAAGCGUUGUUCGGAUUUACUGGGCGUAAAGGGCGCGUAGGCGGCCAGCACAAGUCAGUUGUGAAAUCUCCGGGCUUAACUCGGAAAGGUCAACUGAUACUGUGCGGCUAGAGUGCAGAAGGGGCAACUGGAAUUCUCGGUGUAGCGGUGAAAUGCGUAGAUAUCGGGAGGAACACCAGUGGCGAAGGCGGCGAUCUGGGAAGAUACUGACGCUGAGGUGCGAAAGCGUGGGGAGCAAACAGG
rnacentral:rRNA from 1 species